GGUAAAGUGGCUGAAUUUUAGGCGAUAAAUUGUAAAUUUAUUAAUGGUUAAUAACCUUUUACUA
rnacentral:tRNA from 1 species